rnacentral:rRNA from 1 species
UACGUAGGGGGCAAGCGUUGUCCGGAUUUAUUGGGCGUAAAGAGCGUGUAGGCGGCUUUACAGGUCCGUUGUGAAAACUUGAGGCUCAACCUCGAGACGCCGGUGGAAACCGUAAAGCUAGAGUCCGGAAGAGGAGAGUGGAAUUCCUGGUGUAGCGGUGAAAUGCGCAGAUAUCAGGAGGAACACCGGUGGCGAAGGCGGAUCUCUGGGACGGUACUGACGCUGAGACGCGAAAGCGUGGGGAGCAAACAGG